AACGUUCAUUUCUCAACAUUCCUACUCCUUUAAGGGUUAACAUGUAAAUGAAAAUGCUGUGAGCUAUACAAAUGCAAAUCAGGGUAGCAGGGAGAGUGAACUGUGACUGGCAUGACUGUGGCCUUUGGUCUUGCUUAAACAACUCCCAGUAAUACGCUCAACAGGCAGAAAUGAUGCUGGGUAUGACAUGUCUAUUCCCUGCAAGCUCCAAUAAUGUAACCUGACUUAAAACAGUCGAUAGAGUUUAGAUUCAGAUUUUCCCUUCACACCAACACAAUGAGAAUUUCAGAGGCAAAUAUAUAAAUGAUUGUCUUUAUCACUAUCUUCAUUCAACAAAAAUAUAUGCAAAACUGAAUGCAGAGAAUGGACAUCUGAUUUCGGAAAAUCCGAGCCAGCCGUAGCAUACCAGGGUUCACUCGGAGACACAUAGGCGCUACCGGAACAAUGGUAAGAUUUAAAGAAUACUAUGCUUUCAUUCUGCUGUAGGCUAUAAGGAAAUAGAUAGGCUACAUUGAUAGAUACAGAUCUUAACUGUACAUUUUGCUUUCACAGACUAACUUUGCCUCUUAAUGGGGUCGUGGGAGAGAAAAACUUUAAGAAGAGAAGACUGGUGCACAAUCCCAAGCUUGCGGAAGCAGUACGCCGUCUUCACAACUCGGAGACAAAUUGCAGGCGCUACGAACUGGAGCAAGGACUAAUCUCGCCUCAUAAUGAGGCGGUGACCUCCUAUUUGCUCGGAGCAAUAUCUGCAAGUCCAGAUUUACACGAUGUUGAUAAAGACGACAUUGUGUCCGCCUGUAAGACAUAUUACGAGACGGUACGCAGGAGCUUUAGAUAUACCCAGCCAGAAAACCCAUUGCGGGCGGAAGCUGCGAAGAGUUCAGCUCGGAGUCGAGCGAGAAGUAAGAGGCUGCUGGAAUCGAGACAGAGUGUGCUAGCAGAUGACGAGGUGGAACUAUGGAAGUCCGCCACCGUAGACCUCACGUCUGACGAAGAAGAUGGCGUUGUUGGCUGGGUCUCUACAUUAUUAUUGGGGAUCUGCCAACCAAUCACGAGUGAUUUUACUUGUUUGAAAGUUGUGGUUUCAUCCAAUACUAAGUAAGGAAAUUCAAGCCUGGCCUGGCCAGGUGUGGUUUUGCUGCCAAUCACGAGUGAUUUUUCUUGUUUCAAAGUAGUGGUUUCAUCCAAUACUGAGUAAGGAUAUUCAAGCCAGGCCUGGCCAGCCGCGGUUUCGUUGCAUUCAUAUGCUAAUUAGGGCCAUUAGCACUCUGAAAGCUCUCCACAUACGUCAUUGUCCGGUUCCGACAAUUUGUGGCACAGACAAACGGCGACAAGCGCGGGUUGCAAAUUGUCGUCAACUACCGAAAAUGAGGGAGAUCUCCGGUCGUUUACGGGGACGAAAAUCACACUUUUCAUGCAGUGUUUACCUGCUGGGAAACCCUGUAGCUCCGGAGC